AAGGUGUCAAAUCUAGUCAAGUUGAAAACAUAACAGACAUCUUGAAGAAACGUCAUAAUGCCAACAAUCACAAACAUAUUAAUCAUUCCAACAGAGAUUUGACACAUUGCAGGUCAAGGGAAAGAUUUGACACAUUGCAGGUCUAUAAAAAGAAACAAAAGGAUAUCAUAGAAGUCAUUAUGGACAUAAACAAUAUAUUCCAUUCUGAAGUUUUGACUGGGGAAAGAAAUGUAUACUACUCAAAAGAAGUCAAAGAACACCUGAUUCUUUCAUAUUACUAUAGUUAAUCUGUCAAUACAUACAUACACAUAUAUAAACAAAUAUACAUACAUAAACA